UCGAACGCGAAAGGGGCUUCGGCCCUGAGUAGAGUGGCGAACGGGUGAGUAACACGUGGGUGAUCUACCUCUGAGUGGGGGAUAACGUUCCGAAAGGAGCGCUAAUACCGCAUGACGUCCCGGGUUUGAAGACCUGGACACCAAAGUCGGGGACCGCAAGGCCCGGCGCUUGGAGAGGAGCCCGCGCCUGAUUAGCUAGUUGGUGAGGUCACGGCUCACCAAGGCGACGAUCAGUAGCCGGCCUGAGAGGGCGGACGGCCACACUGGGACUGAGACACGGCCCAGACUCCUACGGGAGGCAGCAGUGGGGAAUUGUUCGCAAUGGGCGCAAGCCUGACGACGCAACGCCGCGUGGAGGAUGAAGGUCUUCGGAUUGUAAACCCCUGUUGACCGGGAAGAAUGGGCCCUGACCUAACACGUCGGGGCAAUGACGGUACCGGUUGAGGAAGCCACGGCUAACUCUGUGCCAGCAGCCGCGGUAAUACAGAGGUGGCAAGCGUUG
rnacentral:rRNA from 1 species